GACGAACGCUGGCGGCGUGCUUAACACAUGCAAGUCGAACGGGGCUGCUAUGAUGGAGUUUUCGGACAACUGAUUAGUAUGCCUAGUGGCGGACGGGUGAGUAACGCGUGAGUAACCUGCCUUUCAGAGGGGGACAACAGCUGGAAACGGCUGCUAAUACCGCAUAAUAUAUACAGGUCGCAUGACUUGUAUAUCAAAGAUUUAUCGCUGAGAGAUGGGCUCGCGGCCGAUUAGGUAGUUGGUGAGAUAACAGCCCACCAAGCCGACGAUCGGUAGCCGGACUGAGAGGUUGAUCGGCCACAUUGGGACUGAGACACGGCCCAG
rnacentral:rRNA from 1 species